CAAGCAGAAGUUCAAGGCAGCCUUUGAUGUCAGGGAUUAUGGUGAGCAGGGUGUGAUGGGCAGGGCAAGUGCUCCCAUCAUUUGAGGUCCAGCUGAAGCCAAACAAGACUUUCUUCUACCUCAACGAUGAGGCUCUGGGUAUGGACAUCGAGGUUUGGUAAGUCCCCUUGUCCCCAGCCUGGCCAGAGGACCAGGAAUGCCAAGAAACUGAAUGGGUGGAGAAGCAGGCCAUUUCUGUGGCACUUAAGGUAUGGUAGAGGUACUCUUUGCCACCCAUGAGAUAUUCUUGGCCACCUACAUUGUUUUGUGAGGUUGUCCAGACCAUGUCUGCCAUGUGUAGGUAGUACAGACCAUCCCUUCAGGUCUCUGGGGUUGUAUAGGACACGUCGCCCACCUAAUAAAGCCAUGCCAAGUCUCAUGGCUCGGACCAUCUCUGAAGGUCCACAAGGUAGCACAGGCAAAUUUGCCAUCUUACGAAUUGUCCAGACUGUCUCCACAGCACUAUGAGGUUGUACAGACCAUUUGUCCACCUAAGUUGUAAGGGCCAUAUCUGCCACUUCUCGACACUAUGCAGACCAUUCCUAUGCAUGCCUCCUAGGCUGCCUGAUGAGGUUUUAUGGGCUACCUCCACCAUCUUGUGAGGUUGCACAAGCUACAUCUGCAACCCAACACGAAGCUUGAUGAAACACAUUUAUCACUUCCCAGCAUUGUGUAGGUGAGCAAUGAAACCAUCUAAGUUUCCAGGGGUCACUCUGCCCCUCCCAAAGAUUUACCACCAUCCCUGCAGCCUCAUGAGGUCAUACAGGACAUCUCUGCAACCACAUGAAGUUGUAUGGGUGUUUCAGAGCCAGUGGAAUGACCUUCCACCCACCCCCAGGUAUGUAUUCAAAGAGUCAGUGGAUGGACAUGCUCUGGCCAUCUUCAGGGUGAAGUCGCAUUCCCACCGGAUGCCCAUCCAGAGCUCCCUGCAGAGAGUGGAGGUGACUGAGUCUUGACCUCUCUCCCCCACCAACUUCCCUCUCCAUCAACCCUCCUCUACUCCCCAAGAAACUAUCUCCUCUUCUCUCUCUCACCCUGAGACCAGAUCUCUGAAGGUCUGGGCCACAUCUCCCUCCAGAAGGACACACUGAUGUCCACAUUCCAAGGCCCAGAAGAGGACUACAUUGGGGCCUUAAUCUUUGUCAACAUCACCGUGUUCUCUUCAGGUGCCACCCUCACCCAAGCUCCUGGCUGAGGUCAGGACAGUGUUCUUACCCAACCUAGACAUUCCACCCAUGUGACCAUGGGCCACCUCCCAGUCCGUUUCCUCAUCAGAUAAAUGCAAAAAUGCCAGAAAGGCUGGAAGGAGCUGAGAUUGUGUUACUGUCUUUCUCUGUCUUCACCAAGACAGGCCUCCCAUACCAGCAGCCCUGCCAUUCCCCCAAGAAACUGAACCUCCUCCACAGACCUCACAGUCCCCUGUUUCUCCAGGGGGUGAGAUGGUCCAGGCUAAGACCUCCGGGGUGAAGAUCAUCCGGAGCCCAUACAGCAUCAAGUUCAUCAGGACACCCCAGUAUUUCAAGCCUGGGAUGCCCUUCUACAUUAAGGUCUUUGUCUCAAAUCCUGAUGGGUCCCCAACCUCUAGAGUCCUUGUCCGAUGCCAAGACAAACAAGACCACACCCCAGCCAAUGGAGUGGCCAUUUUGACCAUCAACACAAAUGCAAAUAAUCGGGAGAAGCUCCCUAUCUUGGUAGAAACUGAUGAGCCUCUCUGGCC